AAACAUUACCUCAGUCAACUUGUUGUUUUAUGUGCUAUGGUUAAAUUUGUUCUCUUAUUCUCCUACUUAUCAUCUGCAGAUUCAAAAGAAAAAGAUUUGGGAAUCAGUGCAGCCUCAUCUCAAGACAGAUGAUUCUUGCGUGGCUAUGCUUGGGGAGCAUUUAAUGCGGUGUUUCACUACGUGGUACAAAUUUUUUCAUGGCUUCCUUUUCUUCUUCCUUGUCUUGCUCGGCAAAGUUAAUGUUGAUAUUAGAGUGCGUUUGCUGCAAAUUCCUGAUGCUCAUGGGUUUAUCAAUUGUGUUUUGUCCUUAUGGUGACUUAUCUUUGAAUUAUUUACGAGUUAGUUCAGACAGACUUCUUAUGUCAGGUUGUCAAUAGAAAAUGGAAUUAACCUUCUUAAGAAAAUCCUGUUAUUAUAGUAAUUCAAUAAUUUAUUUAUAAUUUUUAAAUAAUUAUGUUAUAAAUAAGCUUACCCCAGAUUCUAGUACGAGUCAGAAAUGAAGUUUGAACUCUCCCUCUUGGACAAGGAAAUCAAAUCCCACAAAGAAUAGGAAAUCAACCUCUUAUAUAUACAGCACAAUACCUGAAAAUCUACAUCUAUUCUCAUAAGCCAACAGAUUGAAAGAAGAAACAAAGAAAGAAACAAUGGAGCCACAGCACAUGGAACCACCACCACUCUGCGCCAAUGGCUGCGGCCUCUAUGGAUCAGUACAGAACGCCAAUUUAUGCUCCAAGUGCUAUAAAGAAUUCCAAAAGCAACAAGAGCAAGCAAUAGAAGCAUCAACUUCCUCCAUAGCUCGCCCCUCUUUGAAUGAUGAAACUAUUGCUGGUUCAACUGAUCAGACUGCCUCAAACCGCCGAACGAAUCGGUGCAACAGCUGCAACAAGCGGCUAGGAUUGAUGGGGUUCAACUGCCGCUGUGGAAAUGCAUUUUGCAGGUCGCAUCGACACCCUGAAGACCACGCAUGUACUGUUGAUUUCAAGGGGCUUGGCCAUGAGCUUUUGAUCAAACAAAAUCCACUUUGUAAGGCUGACAAAUUGGAGGAUAGGAUCUAGUUUGCACGACAGGAUAUAGAUGAAAGGAUAAUUUACAGUUUAGUACAUGAUAUUUAGCAAAACUCAUAAUUUAGUAUUUAUUUUUUUAUUAGUAAACAAUUUAUUCUCCAAGUUUUAUUUUAUUAAUAAAAAAUUUUUUAAAAAAAGUUAUUAUUAGUCAACUCUUAAUUAUUAAAACUAGGAGUUUAAUUGUUAUAAAAAAUAAAAUUUGAAGAUUAUAUUGUUAUAACCUAAUAAUGAAUUUUAAUAGGGUGAAUAUUUUAUUAAUAGAAUAAAAUUUUAAAAAUUAAAUUAUUUCUCAUUAAAAUAUUAGAAAUUAAGUUGUAGUUGAUUAAAAAAAUUAAUGAAUGAAUAUUUUUAUUUGUUAAUGAUUGGAACAUAUGAAAGGAAUUCAAAAUAAUAAAUUAUAACCAACAUAAGUGAAAUUAAUAAGUUAAAAUGAAUUUUAAUCAUUUAAAAAAUAUAAUAAAAAGUGCCAAAUAUAAUUGGAAACAAGUCAAAUUUAAAUUGUAAAAAAUGUGCAAAAUCUUUUACCCAAAUUUAUAAUUAAUUUUGGAUCACAUAUUUCAAUCUUGAAGAUUACAAGCACUUGUAUACGUAUUUCAAAAUUAUUUGUAGCAAAAUACAAAUUUUAGAUAUUAAACUAUUACUUGGAUUUAUUUGUCUAUCCAUAAUAAAAUACAUUGACUAUCACUCAAUUUUGUAAAAAUUUAAUUAUAUUAAUUUUUUCAAUAAUUUUUUAUUUAAAAUGAAAAAAAAUUAUUUUUUAAUUUAAAAAAUUAAUUUUUAAAAUAAUUAAAAUCAUGUAUAUUUUUCAAGAAUUUAUUUAUUUAUUUAGUAUUAUGCUACAAGCUCUAAAUGCUUAUUCAAUUAUAUCUAAAAGUUUUAAACACUUUUGUUAACUAAUUUUUGAAAUGAGUUAAAUCUUAUCUAAAUUUAAUAUGAUAUCAGACAGAAUACUAUAUUAUUUGUAAUUAAUAAUAAUUAUGAGAGAAAAUUGAAAAAAGAAGAGCAUACUCAUGUGCAUCGACGCUCUUGCGCUUAGGGGUGAGCAUUCGGUCGGUUCGGUUUUAAACCGAACCGAACCGAAUAAAUCAAAAAUCAAAAUUUUAGUGUUUAUAAAAAUCGAACUAAACUGAUUUUGGUUAGAAACUGAAUCGAAUUGAACCGGUAUGAUUCGGUUCGAUUCGGUUCGAUUUGAUCGGUUUCGAUUUUUAAUAAUUUUUUUUAUUUUUUACACUUUAUUUUUAAUAUUUUAAAAUAUUUUAAUGUUAAUAUGAUUUAAUUUAUCUAUAUUAUUAAAAAAAUAUAUUAUUAUCACUGAUCGGUUCGGUUCGAUUUUUUCGAUUUUUUCUGAUCAAAAUAGAACCGAACCGAAAUAACCGAAAUUUCUAAAAUUAAAAAUCGAAUUAAACUGAAAUAUAUAAAAAAUCGAAUUAAAUUUUCAAAUCGAUUCGAUUCGAUCAAUUUUUUCAGUUUAAACCGAAUACUGCGCACCCCUAGUUGCGGUCACAAGCAUAGCAAGCGAAAGGAGCAAGAGAGAGGAACAAUUUUGUUUGAACAUAUAAGUUACGAUGGAGUUACUUUGUAAAGUAAAAUAGACAUCACUUGAGCAUUAGAGGGAGAGGGUGCUGAAGCUAAUUACUCCAUCAAAUGAUCAAAUUUUUUUCUCUUUUAUUAUUUAGAUUUCAACAUUUAAAUCCCUUAUAUUUUUUUAUUAUAUAAAUUUUAAUAUUUAAAUAUUUAUAAUAUUAUUUAUUAUUUAAAUACUAAUUACUCCAUCCAUUUUAUGUUUUUUAUCUGUUCUUUUUAAAUUAUUUUAAAAUUAUUAUUUAUUUUUCUUUUUUAGGUUAUUUCAAAAUUAUUAUUUACUUUUUUUAACUAUAAUAAUAUAUAAAUGGACCAUUAUAAUUCUAUUUAAUUUUAUUUCUAAAAAGUUUCUUAAAAUAUCUCUUAAUAUUUAAUAAAAUUUAAUGUAUUUAAAAUGAAUAUAAUUAAAAAGUUAAUAAAAAAAUUAUAUUUUUUAAAACGUAUAAAAAACAAAAUAAACAAAAAUUAUAGGACGAAAAAAGUAUAAAAUUUUUAUUAAUUAUAUAAAGUGCAUUUAAUAUAAGAUCAACAAUAUAAUACUGAAUUCAAUAAUCGUUUAAAUAUUUAUGUUAAAUUUUAUAUGAAAUUAAUUGAAAUGUAUAUAAUAAAUAUUUAAAUUCAUAUAUAAAUAAUCUAUAUAAGUAAUGGAGUGAAAAUUUUUUUAUUUAAAUUAUAUAAUUUUAAUUAAACCUGUGUAAUUUUAUUAUUGAUACAAUAAAUAUUUUUAUACAAAAUUUAUUAAUAUAUUAUCAUUUGAUUAUUCAUAUAUUUAUUAUUUAUUUUUAUUUAAAUAUAUAAUUUAUAUUAAAUUAUUUUAUAUUAUACGAAAAAUAUUAUACAUAUAUAAUGUUAUAGAACAAUCGUAUAAAGUGAGACCGUGAGCUGUAACUACGAGAUAGGAUCACGUGGUAAGGACUAUAUAUAUAGGACAAGCGGACCAUCUCAAGAAAGGAAGAUCCGAACACCAUAAUAUCCGAUCAUUAUUCAAACUUGCAUGUUCCUAAUAGAGAGAAUCUUUGCGCUAAAAUUACCGUUAAUGAGCACAGUUUAGAGUACUUUUAUUAUGCAUGUAAUCACGAGAUCACCAAUCUAUUAGGCAGCAACAUCCCUUAUCGAGCAAAAAUUACUAGGAGAUGCCAUAUUUAUCUUCAUCUUCUUAUAGUAUAAAAAAAGAAGAAGAAUAAAGACAAAUAUACGUUAUUCUCUUAUAUUAAAGUUUUAAACAAUUCAUUUCAUUUUCUCUACUCGUUGAUACUGACUUAGCAUUGGUGUGGCUGCUAUGGGCACCUACUACCAUUCACGUUUUCUUCUUUGUAGGUUCUAGCCAAUCACAGUGCAGUUCCGCUCCGGCCAUGUCAUCAAUCUAAUCUUAACAACACCAUUUAGUUCCAUUGUUGAGAAUCUAUUUAAUUCCUCUUGUUUGUUUGGAAUAUUACGAUUGGUCUCUUAUUCUCUUCCUUAUAGAAAGAAAUCUGUCUCUUUUCUCUCUCAAGAUGCCCGAUAGUUUGCGAGCUGCUGCUAAUAUUACUACCAAUGAGGGAGUCAUCAUUUCUUCUGCUCUUGACAACAGAGAGAACACACCCCCCAGUGGUCAAUGAAGCAGACCUCAAUAAUUUAAUCAAUGAACAGAUACUCCAGUACAUCCAAAGGUUGCAGGCUACUUUUAGGCAGUAUAAUGCUCAGGAAGAUGCAUAAAAAAUGGAUCACGAAAGAAGGGAGGAAGCCUCUAUGGUCAAAAUGCAACUCAAGGAAAAAGCCAAGUCCAAAGAUGAAUCAGAUGAAGCUCCAAAAAGCGUUGAUUGGAAGCUAGUACGGGCCGUGCAAAGAUACCAAAAGGAACAAGAAGAGGAUUUUAGCCUAGACGGUAUUUUGCCUCUUUCGAAAGAAAUCUUAGCAGAAACCUUUCUCACCAAGUUCAAGUUGCCUAGCUUGGACAAAUAUGAUAGAAUGACAGAACUCAGGAGCUACCUAGCAAUCUUCAGGAUGACCAUGCAGCUUCAGGAUGUAAACGAUUUUGUGUUCUGUCGGGUCUUUCCAUCAACACUCACAAGUUUGACUCAGAAAUGGUACCAAAAUCUGAGCCCAGAUUCAAUUCAAAACUUUAUACAGUUUGUCGCAUUAUUUAGAUCCAGAUUUAUUACUUGCAUACCUCCCAAAAAACUUUCCUCUGACUUGCGGAAGAUCCAUCAAGAAGAAGGUGAGUCUUUAAGGAGUUUUAUCUCAAGUUUCAAUGCUAAAGCCAUAUAGGUGGAAGAGUUUAAUCAUGAGAUAGCAUGUGAAGAAUUGAAGAAAGGAAUCCGCAAUAUCAAAUUCAUGGAUUUCUUAAUUAAAAAUCCAGCCGCAAUGUAUCAACAGUUGAUAAACAAAGCCCAAAAAUAUAUCAGGCUAGAUGAAAAAAAUCAGGUAUUAAAAGAAGAUAAGAGGGCAAAUCAAAAAGUCCGAGAGACACAAAUAUGAAAGAGAUCAUAGGAGUUACCCCAUCUCGCAAAAGAUGGAUGAUCAAAGUAAGUAUAAGAAUUACACUCUAUUAAGUGACUCACAUACUCAUAUUUUGAUGUGGAUUAGAAAAUAUGACAAUGAAAUCAUGUGGCCGCCCAAGCUCAACCCUGAGAAAGUGGAGAAACAAGACAGGACAAAGUAAUGUUGAUUCCAUGAAGAUUAUGAUCAUACAACAGAAAAGUGCUGACAACUAAAGGAUGAGACUGAAAGGCUGAUAAGAAAAAAAAACCCUUCGAAAAUUCACAAGGAAGGGAAGGGAAGAAAAGAGAUCUGAGCUUGAGGAACCAACCCCCGAUCGAGAACUUGUAGGGGUCAUACAUGUAGUAAUGGAAUCACUUAGGGGUGGUUAGGAAAAGUAAAUAAAUUGCCGGAUUGGUAAGAAAACUUUUUAAGUCCCGAAGGUCAUUCGCCUAGAAAUUUUACAAGUUAGAUAGUUUAGGGAGCUGAGUGGUCCCCACUCUCGAUAUAUUUGUAAUAUAUUCCUUUUUAAUAAUAAAGUUAACGAGAUAUUUUCAUAUGUUGUGUUCUUCAGUGAUAAGGAACGAUGAGAUUGCCUUUCUCAAAAAAGGAAAAAAGAGAUAAGAAAAGGCUAUAAGGCAGAUUCUGCUAGACCAUCCGGGCUUUUGUCCCACCAUACAAGGCCACAAGACGGGUUCCCCCAGGCCAGGUCACAAGGCGAGUUCUGCCAGACCAUCCGGGUGCUGGUCCCACUAUAUAAGGCCACAAGGCAAGUUCUAUCAAGUACAAUCACAAGGUGGGUUCUACCAGGCUAGGUCACAUGGCGGGUUCCGCCAGACCAUUCGAGCGUUGGUCCCACCAUACAAGGCCAUAAGGCGGAUUCCACUAGGCUAGGUCACAAGACAGGUUUCGUCAGGCCAUCCAAGUGUUGGUUUUACUAUACAAGGCCACAAGGCGAGUUUCACUAGACCAUUCAGGCGUUGGUCCCGUAAAACCACAAGGUGAGUUCUGCCAGGUAGGGUCAUAAGGUGGGUUCUACCAGACUAUCCAAACACUGGUCCCGUUAAUCCAAAGCAAUUACAAAAGGCCAUAGGGCGAGUCUCGACCAGUUUAAUAAAUCUUAAGGCAUGUCCAAGGCCAUAGGGAAGGUAUAGAUCAGGCCUAAAAAAGUGGGUGGAGGCCCCACCAAUUGAUGGCUUUGAGCCAGGCUGUGAGGCGGGUUUCACCAAAUUCAAUUACUGCCUUACUAAGCUUUUGAGACAUUCAAGGCUCAAGCUAAGGGAUGAGUGUUCAUGGGCGAGUAUUGGCCUCAAGAUUAGGCCCAAGGCAAGUAUACGCCAGACCAUAUGUUUGGGUGUUAUCCCUAUUAUUCAAGGAUUUUCAAGUUAUUUUUUACUAUGACGAAUGGGUGUUAACCUUUGGCAAUUUUUUGAAAAGAAUAAAUUGUUUAAGUCUUAAAAGAAGGUUGUAACUGAGUACAGGGUAUAUGGACACUUAGCAAAAACACAAAUGACAAACUAUAUUUUCAUUAAACACAAAAAGGUUACAUGUGAAAGAUAUCCUCAGACUCCCUCGCCCGAGUCUCCAUUACCUCGGUAUUCUCUACAUCAAUUACAUUAUCAGUAGAGACCCAACCGACAAGAGUAUCUUUAGCAUACUCCCCUUCCUCUUCAAUUUCGCCCUCCUCCUCGGGGAGGAUGUCGUCUAUCUAGAAAAAAUCCUCAAAAUGAAAACAAUUCACUAGCUCCUUCUUCACCCCUUGAACAAACAUUUCCUCACCUUGGGCCACUGUCUCCUUACUCUGAUAGAGGCAGCGUAGACUCCCUCAGCUUGCACCUGCAACUCCAAGACUUGGUGUUGCAGCAGGGCCACCUAAUCCUCGGCAGAUUUAGCCUGGUUCUUAAGCCUAGUUUGGAAGUAAGGGCCUCAUCAAGAUCAGCCUGAAGCUUGUCUAUAAACUCCAAGAUCUCCUUCAUGGUACCCUCAACUUCAGUGACCCGAGUCUUCAACCUUGAAUAUUCCUCGGCCAAGAGCCUCAUGUUCGUGUCAUUUGCACCAGACUCCCACCUUAAGGCUUUGUAUCGCUCCUUGGCAAUGUAAGUGCAGAGGGCACUCUCUAGUGCAUAAUGUAUAGAGUUUUCAAAAGAUCGUUUGUCUUGAGCUCAUUCAAGUGGCGCCGAUCCGCAAGCCUCAGAGCACCUCUGAUUAACAAAAGUCCCAGAGUGGGAUCGUAAAGGAGUAAGGGCGCUCGGCUUAGCGCCAAAGCCAAAUGUUGGAUGCUUGGAGGCCAGGAAGAUUCGACCCCAUCACUCAUAGGAGCAGGAAUGGAGGAGGUGGGGGCAUCAGCAGUAAGCCUAGGGGCUGGGGUAGAAUUAGAAGUGCCUAGGGGAGAAGCCUCAGGCUGUAGAUGGACUAACUCUUUCGUGGAGGGAGGGAGCGGGGGAGGGGGAAGCAUAAUAACCUCUUUUGAGGGGCGAGCAUGCUUUGAGGGGGGACUAGCAACCCCGGCAAUAGCCUUGCCUUUACAAGCAGCACGUGUCGCCUUAGUAAAUUUGCUUAAACCAGCCAUAUCUGCAAAGAAAAGGAAAAGUAAAUAAGAAAGACAGUUCGAAAAAUAAAAUAGAUAGAAAGAGAAGUAUCCUGAUCCCGAGCAUAGGAAGUGCCUUCACCAAGGCUGGGAAAGUUGGACGAGUGAGGACCUCAAGCCUAAUUUGCCUGCAGAUGGCUCUGCCAAGACAAGAUGACAUUCCUUAUCGCCUAUGUGAUGUCUAUUUUCUUUAGGGCUUUAGCCAUCGUUAAAAGCAAGGCUAAAGCUUCGUCUUCCUCUCUUCUCGGACAGGCCUCAUCAUUCUUCAAUUCUAUCCAACAAUACCAGCUCAUUUGGAGACACCUAAAACCCCCCGACAUCCGAUGGCGAAUGAUAAAAAAUUUAUUCUUUCACUAUUUCAAAAAGGAAGGCAUCCGGUAAAAAAUGAUUAAGUAUUUUCGGCUAUUGAAGUAACAAAAUUUUUUAUUUUUUACGGAUACCCAGUUGGUAAAACUAGAAAAAAAAGUGUUACACUUAAUUCAAAGUGAUUAUUGAGGCAGAUGAACUGAAAAAGCCAUGAGGAUUCUCCAAUUGUUGGGAUGCAGCUAGAAAAUCAAAAGCUUGUGAAAUUGAAGGACUUCUAUAAAAAAGUGUCCAAGGAGAAUCAUAGACUUACAUUCAUCUAUUUCUUAAAACCAAUGAUAGUCGUUGACACGGACGCGGAAAGAAAGAGUCAAGACCUAAAAAGUCUCUCGAGAAAUGUUGUAAGUAUCUACAAACGAUCUAAAUCGUGCUCUAAGAGGACAAACUUUUUAUCACGAAUAGCUGGGUUUGUUUAUACUAAAAUGGAAUGAUGAAAUCGUAAAUGCAGCAAAAAAUUUAGACAUUUAUUGAGUUUCUCAAAAACAGAGAGGCUAAAUUGUUAAUAAAAACAACACCUAGGGACGAAAACGCACAUUUUACCUAAACCCCACAAAUUGAUCGCGCGCUCUCUCUGUCUCUCCUCGCAAAUAUAGCGGUUAAAUCUCAAAGAUUGUCACUGGCAGAGAGUCCGAUUGGACGGCAGGGAUCGGUGCCGGGGAAAAUUGAAGACCGGGAAUACGACAAUGGCGUCCUCGUCCACUAGCGGUUUAACGUUCAAGCUACACCCACUUGUUAUAGUUAAUAUAUCCGAUCACUAUACUCGGGUUAAGUCUCAGAUAAACCCUCCCGUUCCCUCCACCGCUAAUACUGUUUCCAGCAACACCAACGGCGCCGGCGAUGGUGUCAGCACUGCUGUUUCAGCUGCAACGCGGCCAACGAGAGUCUAUGGAUGCGUUAUAGGAGUGCAGAGGGGACGCACCGUUGAGAUUUUCAAUAGUUUUGAACUUCUCUAUGAUCCCAUCACCCACUCUCUACACCGAGCUUUCCUUGAGAAGAAGCAAGAGCUCUGUAAUUUUCCUAUAUAACUUCCUUUUUUGGGGGAUUGUUAAUUUGUUUAAUUGUGGUGUGGUAGUUCCUAGGAUUCCAUAAAUUAAUUGAAAAUCUUGUGAUUCUAUUACAGAUAAGAAGGUUUUCCCUCAUUUUUACGUCUUGGGAUGGUAUUCAACGGGUAGUGAUGCUGAGGAAUCCGAUAUGCAUAUUCACAAGGCUGUAUGUUUUUUCCCUUCUCCUUUUUCUGAAUCAUGCCUUUUGUUGUUAAAUUAUUUUCAAUGUUUUUCUAAACGUUUUUAAAUUGAAAAUUCAGUAUAGUGAGGGAGGUAAUUUAUAGAAAUGGUGAUGUGAGAUGUGAAUAUACCUGGUUUUGCUACCCUCUUGUAGAGAAGCUGCUUGCGUUGCUUCAUGCUGCAGUUGGAUGUAAUACUGAUUUACUUAUUUGAGCCAAUUUAGAAUAAACAAAAUCUAAAGUUUUUUUCCUUUUCAAAUUGGGAUGAGGAGAAGUUCGAGUUGUUUAGGGCUGGAACAGCCAAGGAAAUCGUUCCAUCGCUGAAAUAUGUUGCAGUUUUUCUAUCUAUAAAGAAGAUUAACUAACAGUAUGUUAAAAACAUGCCUUUAUGCAUCCUUGGUAUGUGCAUUCUAUGUUUUCACCGCCCAGGCCAAAAAAAAAAGUCUGAUGUUUGCGGAUUUAAUUAUGUUUGGACAAUUAACAACCAUUGCUUUUGUUUUCAUCUCAUAAUCUAUUGUUCUUUAAGAAAACAGUAGUGAUGUGAGAAAGACGAGGCGAUAGCUAUAUAUCUGAGAGAAGUCUUUGGACUUAUCUUCAAGGGUAACUCAACAAUGAUUUUAACCUUUUCUUUGGAAAAAAAUUGAAACAUUUACUAUUAAUGAAAAUAUCUUCAAAUUCAUAAGAUGUAGCUCAAAGUCCCCCCUGAGAGUCACCUUUCUUGCAAUGAUCUUUUGAUUAAUGCAUGUUUGUUUCAAGGGCUAGCAAGUUAAACUGUUAUAACUUUGUUUAGGUUUGUGGCUUCUAACGUGACCUUUUAACCUUUUUUUUUUCUCCCCCAAUGGCUUGAUAAUUGCUACUAUGAGUCUAUGAUACACAUGGAUCUUUGGUUUUGAAUGCUUCUUUUCUUAAAUUUAAGAAUCUCUUAAUGCUGAUAGGUGGUUAAUACUUCAUGAUAUGUACAAAAUGAGCUCUCAUCUUCACUGUGUCCUAUUAUUGUGAGCAUUCAUUUUGCUAUUUAGGAGGGAUAGGUACAUAAAAAAUAUUUGAUUUUGUCAGUGAUAUAUUAAUUUCCUUUGCAUGCUUUGUUCUGGUAUAUUCUUGGACAAUGUUCAAUAGAUGCAUUUUAUUUGUCAGUAAGUUGUAACAACUAUUUUCUUUAACAGCUGAUGGAUAUUAAUGAAAACCCUGUAUAUGUUCUACUCAAUCCUAUAAUCAAUCCAGCCCAGAAGGAUCUGCCUGUAACUAUAUAUGAAAGUGGUAUGAUCUCAUUGUUGUUUCUUCUUUUAUGUAACUAGCUUUUAUGAGCACAUGCUCUUACAAUCUUUUAUUAACGCAUGAGUUUUUUUUUAUGAUUAGAAAUAUGAAUUUUUUUUCAGCAACUCUUCUAUAUGAUAAAUUAUAUUAUACAUUACUAGUAUUGGUGUUUUGGUAUAGAUUGAAUUGUAUUUAAUUGAUAUUUAAAUUGAGCAAGUAAAAGCAUAAUUAAAAUUUGAAAUGUUUAUUUUUUAAAUAUUCUUUUUUUUUCUUGCAUACUAUAUGCAUGAUUUUAUAUAAUCUAUUGACAUAUAAAUGUUUAUUAAUUUAUUCUGUCCAAUAAUAAGUUAAAAGUUCAAUUAUUUUUGAAAUUUAAAGAAUAAUUUAGCAAUAUUUUUCCACAGAAUAUUUUGCACCAAUGUGAAGGCAUUGUUUAAUAUUCUUGACCCACCCGUAUUAAUGUAUCUUUAAACCUCAACAACAUUGUUUCAUUUGAUUUUUGUUUUUAUUUUUAACAUUCAUCUAAUUUACUAAUGCAACAUCCAAGAAGAGUUGAUAUGUAUGUCGUCGUUCAAGGUAUUUGUAACCUUUAAAAUUUGUAGAAAAACAUUGUGCAAGUGAUCCAUGUAGACAUGAAAGAAAAGAAUAACAGUGUAAUAGUUAUUGAGUUGGCUUAUAACCUAAUUAAAUCCACACUUGGCUCAAAUUUGAAUCCUACUCUGUUGUGUUUCCAUGUCUGUUUCAAAUGAUAUUUCACUAAGUAAAAAAUUAUCAAUAUAAUGGUUCACAACAUAAAUUUGAAUUAGAAACUCAAUAAUAAAUGAUAAAUUAAAAAUUUCACAAAAUAAAGUGUCAAAAUCAAACUCAUAAUCAAAGUUGCAGGAUGAAUCUUGAUAUAGUGAAAAAUAAUAAUAAUAAAAUAAAAUUGAAGUGUUUCACAAUUAUAUAUAUAUAUAUAUACACACACACUAUCAGUUUUGAUUCUUUUUCCAACUCACUUUUAUACGUAUUGCAAUUUCAUGUACUAAAACCUUACAAAUAAAAUGUGCUAUUAAAUAGUUCACACAAGCUAAUCUAAAUUAUACAAAUUUCUAGUGUAAUAAGGACUUCACAAAUCAAAGAAUAUGUUAAAUAGAAACUUCUAUUAAUUUAAUUUAAAUUACUUUUCCAUAUUAAAAAAUAAUAUAAGGGCAUUUUAAUUUUUUGGAUAGCCAUGAAGACUUUUUAUAUUAAGCUAAAAUAUGAGAUUUUAUGUGCAUCACUCGUGCUCAUCCUCCUCUCACAGCGGCUGUCUCUGCAUGAAAUCUUAUUUCAAUUAGCUAACAUCUGUCUUUUACAUCUACACAGUUUGUUUGGAUGAAUGGGUAUGAAAAGGAAAAUAAAGGAAAAGGGAUGAUAGAUAUCCCUUGAAACUCCUAUAUGAUUUCCCCUCAAAACAAAAGCCAUUGUAUAAAAUAAGUCUCUUUAACUUUAACAUUUAGAAUCCUUUCUUAUCCUAUGAAACUUCUGAAUAUGCAUUGGUGUUUAAUCCCUCGGUUCUUUUCUUUUCCUAUUCCAUGUGUUACAGGCUAUUAUUUCUCAUUCCAAUUAAUUUGCAAACAUUGUGAUAGACUAUUAUUCAAUCUAAAAGUUACAGUUAGGUGGGGGCCGAAGAAUAGGUUUAAAUUGUAAUAUGGGUGCUCACAUGGAAGCCUGUAUGGUUUGAAAGUAAUGGAUGAAACACAAUACAAUACUUUGUGCAAGCAUAUGGUACCAAAGUUUGAAUAUGGACAUGUAGAUCAUAGAGAGUUUAAUAAAAUAUUAGCAACAACUCAACCUUUUAGUUUUUUGGGGUGAGGGCCUAAGAGUAGCUUUUAAUUCUUUACCAAUUUCUUUUGAAGAAAGUAUAUAUGCCCAUUCAUAUUUAUCUGGUAUAGUUAGGUAUUGUGCUUUAUAGUUCAUCAUGAACAAUCUAGGACAUUAUACUACUGGGAGGCAUUGUUCAAUACACGCCUAAUCACUGAAAAAUAUUACUUGUAUGCAGGUUUUUAAAACUUUACCAAAUAUUUUAAUUUUGGCAAUUUUAGCCUGAUAUGAAAACAUAGUUCCACCGGUCAAAAUUGAAAAAGGGAAAUUUAUUACUAAUUGGAACAACAAAAUAGUUUUUAAUAAUCCCCACUAUUUCACUGCCCCAGCUCCACCUCUGCUGCUCUCUCUAUUUUACCUCUUUCUCCUUGAAACCUUUUGCUGAUGGUUGUCCCAUAAUCAUCAACCAGGCUAUGAGCCAAUUUAUUCUUUCUGCAAUUGCAAACUUCUAUAGUAAAUGCUCUUGUUUAAGUAUUUCAAUGCAGAAUGCUAAGCUUAAAUUAGGGAAAUAUGGAAUUCAUGGUGAUGGUGAAAAGAGAAACCCUAUAACAGGUAAAGCAAACCCUAAAGAGGACAAGUGUUAAUGAACUUUUAUUAAUAGGUUUAAUGAUGCAAACCUAACAGAGAGAGGGAGGAAACAGAAAGAGGAGUGUUGGAGAGAGAAAGUGUUGGGGGGAGGGGAGGACAAGUAGUUAUGGAGAGGAAAAUUGAUAGAGUAAGGGGAAAGAAGGAAAAGAGAUUUUGUAUUCAAAUCAAUAAAAAAAAAGAGUAACAAGAGAAUCAAGCUUUAAUGAACACACUUUUCAUGUCAUUCAAUUCAUUCAUUCCCUAGUAAUCAAUAGAUACCCAACACUCAAAAAGAAACACUAAAAAGAUAAAGAACAAGAAAGACUAAUGAUGAAAGAAAACCAUAUUCAAGACACCCUGGAUAUUCUCCCAGCAGAUAGCAAUACUCUGCCCCUCAACUGUAUGAUAAUUUUGUAUGCCAAUGUUACCUCCUUUCCUCUCCUUAAAUGCUGGAGAAGGAAUAUUUUUUGUUAGCCCUUUUGUGCCAAGUGUCCUCCCUCCUCUCUUUUCGUACUAGCCAGCUGUCUAUGAGAUUCCCACAUUCCCUUCCCCUUCCUCUGCCCUUUUAGCCUUGUCGAAUAAACCUUAAAAGGCUUCGUAAUAUUUCCAGCUUCAUUAUGGGCCCCUUGUCAUUACUGUCUUCUUUUAAAUCAGCCUUGUCCUUAAGGCUGAAAUAAGAAAAUUGUCAUUAAAAAUCGGCUUGAUCAAUCCAAGUAGCUUCCUUUGCAUACUGUUCUUUCCACUGUACUAGCACUUGAGAGACUGUCUCGUUGUUACAAAGGAUGUUCCUUUUCCCACAGAUCCAUUUUGGUUCUAUCAUUCGUUCUUUAUAUACAUUUAAGUGGGCUAGCAAAUCCUGAACUACUUGAUAUUCCCCUACCGCCUUCUUAAGCUGUGAUAUAUGAAAUCCUGUAUGAAGCUGGUAGCUUUCAGCUUGUAUGCAAUAGCUCCUUCUCAACUUAUAGUUUCUAAUGGUCCAAAGUAACGUGCAACUAAUUUUGCAUAGUUUCUGCCAACCACUGAAGUCUUUCUAUGAGAUCUCAUUUUGGCUCCUACUACAAACUCUAUAUCCCUUCUCUUUUUAUCAGCAUGCUUUUUCAUCAAUUGUUGUGCCUGAAGCAAAUGGAAGUUAAGUUGCCGAAUAGACUCAUCUCGGCGCUAUAGUUGUUCAGAUGCAGCCUCAACUCUAGUUUCUCUUGGCAAAAUGUUUGCAAUAUUGGUGGAGGCCUACCAUACACGACUUCAAAAGGGGUUUUCCCAAUUGCAGGCUAGUAACACGCAUUAUACUAGUACUCAGCCCAACAAAGCCACUUAGUCUAUCCCUUUGGUUGUCCAUUUGUUUAUCGAUUUGAAACCUUUGUUUGUCCAUCCGUUUGUGGAUGAUAAGUAGAAUUAAGUUGGGUCCCUUGCAUUGGAGAUAACUCACUCCAGAAAUUACAAAGACAUACUGGGUCCCACUCACUUACAAUUGUUUUUGGAAUACCAUACAGCUUUACUAUCUCUCUUGUGAAAACUUCGGCCAUUGUUCUUGCAGUAAAAGGAUGGCGAAGAUUAAGGAAGUGAGCUAAUUUGGAUAAGCGAUCUACUCCCAUUAGUAUACAAUCUACCCUAUGGGACCUUGGCAAGCCUGUUAUGAAGUCAAUGGAGAUAUCCUCGCAAAUGGAGUUUGGAAUGGGAAGUGAUUGUAGCAAACCUACUGGUGAUUUGUCUUUCUUGUUGCCAUCAUUCCCAGCCAAUAAAAAUUUGAAGCCAUGCGACAAUAAGUGCGGAAGGCUCCUAAGUGUCCGUCUUGAGGUGUGGCAUGAAAUUCAGCUAUAAGUUUCGAAAUUCAAACUGAACCAGCCGGCAAGACCAGCCUCCCCUUGUAGUAUAACCUAUCAUGAACUAUUGAAUAAUGCUUAUGAGAUGUGGUCCAUUCUUUAACUUCCAUAAUUAUUUUGCCGAUUUAUCAUCUUAUAGCACCUCCUGUGUUAUCAACUACCAGUCAGCCCAUUGAGCAAUAGAGAUUGCAAAUACUUCAGCUUCCUCGACCCUUCUUGACAAGCCAUAAGUUGCCCUAUUUGUGCAACCAACUUUAUAUUCAAUGAAAAAAUUGUAUUCCAUUAAUUUAGAGAGCCAGUAUUGUUGGGCGGGUGUGCUGGUCUGUUGUUGCAGGAGAUGCCUUAGAUUUCUAUGGUUCGCACAUACUGUGAAUUUCCUUCCUAUUAAAUAGGGCCUCUAGUGUUGAAUGGCAAGAACCAAAGCCAUUUAACUCCAUUUUAUAGGUUGACCUAGCCAUUGAUUUAUCCUAAAUAGCUUUACUAAAAUAAGCCACUAAUCGCAUAAGUACAGCCCUUACUCCACUUGUUGAAGCGUCACACUCAACCACAAAAUGUAAAUUGAAAUCAAGCAUUAUUAGUACCGAAGAUGAGAUAAUAGCCCGCUUGAGAGCUUCAAAGGAUUGUUCUGCCUCAGUUGUCCACUAAAAAUUUUUAAUAUUUCUUCUUUAAUAAUUUUGUUAAAAAUUUCGCAAGCUGUCUGUAUUGAUUGAUGAGUCUCCAAUAAUACCCUGUUAUUCCUAGAGAAACUCUAACUGUCUUGAUUGAAAAUCUUCCAUGGACCCGUUUCCACCUCUAUGAGAGAUGUGGAUUUUCUUAUUGAACACCUCUUUUGAUCAACAUGGAAUUAAUUUCUGCAAAGUAAUUCAAACACAACCUAUAGAUGCUUCAAGUGCUCUUCCCAAUCCUUGUUGUAAACCAAUAAAUCAUCAAAAAAUACAAGAAUGAAUCUGCGUAGAUGGGAUGACAUAAAUUAUUUAUCAUUGCCUGCAAGGUUGCCGAUGCAUUCAUUAACCCGAAAGGGAUGACUAUAAACUCAUAAUUGCCUGAAUGUUGCGGCUACUCUAAUACGGUGAUAGCCCGAUUCUAUAUCCAACUUCGAAAAUAACAAGCUCUGCUCAAUUCAUCAAGAAGCUUUUGGAUGACUGGAAUAGGAUUCUUAUUUGAGAUUGUGGCUCGAUUCAGUUGAUGAUAAUUCAUGCAGAACCUCCAGCUACCGUCCUAUUUCUUGACUAAACAAUAGAUGCUUGGCCUGAUCACACCCGUAGACUACAUCUUCGACACCAGUUUCUCGAUCUUAUCUUUCUGAAUAUGCUCGUAUUUAUAGAGGCGCACCGAAAUUGGUCAUGUCUCAGGUUGGAGGGUAAUUUGGUGAUCGUCUUUCUUAUGGGGAGGUAGCCGCUUGAUCUUAUUAAAUACAUCGUUGCAGUGGUUCAAGAGUUGUGCUAGAUUUUGUUGCUAUUGGAAUGUCAACUGCUCUUCCGCUCUUCCGUUGAUCCAGCAGUUAUCUUAAUCUCCUUCGGCCACAAAACAACUAAGAAUUUCAUAUCUUUAGUUUUGUGCAGAGUCCUUAAAGAUACAAAUGCCCUGCUCAAGUAUGAAUCUCCCUCUGUUUGUCGUCCACUUGGAACCUUAGUGUCAUCUUUUGCUAAUUUGCUUGAAUGUCCUCUAAGGUUUCUAACUAUGCAAUUCCUAAAGGCAACACAUAAUAAUCUGUCUCUAUGUUGAAAUCUUCCGCAUCUAAUUCCAACCCUUUGCAAAUUCCUUCAAAUGGAAUCCAACACCCAUCUCCUAGUUUAACCUUGAAUGAAGGUGUGGAGGUUGUCAGUAAUUGCAUUUGUUGGGUGCCGCUGUUCCAUAUAACCACGUCCUUUCCAUGCACACUACCACGGAAUUUCAUCAUUUUGGGUUGAUGAAUUCCCCCCACAGAAUAAAGUAGAAGCUUUAGCUGCGAGAAAGGGCUUCAUCUUCACCUCCAAUUAGAGCCCUCAAGGAUCAAUUUGGACAAUCAUGCAAAGGGUAGUAAGGCUGUUUAUAUUUAAAGCAUAAACUCGUCGCCCUAAGCUCUUGAUACUCCUGGUGCGAAUACUGUCUUAACCUCCUAUGUCGAUUCCGAUGGUUUGAUUCUUUGAAAGAAAUAGGUGGUAAGGCUAGGGUUUUAGGGCUUAAAUAGCCGUUCUCGCGAGGUUUUUGUGGUGGCCCAUCUUUCUUUUGAUAGGUUAUAGCCAAAGUUACCAAGGCCUUUGUUCCAGCCUAUGGGAGAUUCUUUUCUCCUUUCUUCCUUCCAUCAUCCAUGUCUUCUCUCUUCCCCUCAACGGAUACAUUCUCUGCCGUUCCAUUUCCCUAGUUAGCUUCAUAGUUUUGUACAGAUCAGUCGUUUCAUGCGAUUGAUGCCUUAGAUGAAGGCCUUCUCUCAAUCCAUUCAGAAAGAACCCCAAACUUUGUCUAUCUUAAACACUCGAUACCAGUGAUGCCCUUGCUACAAAUUCAUUAAUGUAUUAUGCUAUUGUGCCCAUUUGUUUUAGAGCCACCAAAUGCUCAUAAGGAUUUUCGGAAAUAUCAUUGGUGUAUCGCUACAUCAAUUAUUCCUUCAAAAGAGUCCAUGAGAGCUACGGGUUCCUCUGUCGCAUCCAUCUUAGCCAAUGCAAAGGAGCUCCCUCCAUACUUAUGAGGGCCAGUGAGAUUUUUAACUCUUCAGGAAUAUUUUGAAUCUUGAAGGAUUGCUCUGUUCUUGCUAUCCACUCGAUUGGAUCAGUUCCAUCGAAAUUGGGCUUUUCAACUUUUUUAGCAAUGGAGGUAGAUUCUUCAACAGUUUAUUCUUUCCGCCACCCUCGUCAUUGAAGUUUUUGAACCAGAAUUUUGGAUAGGGGUUUGAACUGAAGUGUUCCCUUCCUCGGUAAUAUUCUUUCCUGUUAGCAUAGAUGUGAUCAUGCUUUCCAAACACCUGAGGCGCUCCUCCUGCUCUGCUCACAUCUGUUCUUGGCCUAGUUGUAUUGCAAUGACAGCCUCUCCAAUCCAAUAAGUCCCCUCUCUACCUGCUUUAGUCUUCCAUCCAUUCUUGUCUUGGUUGUGUGUGUUAGAUCUGGCAGGUUGGACCAAUUUGAUAGAGUAAGGGGAAAGAAGAAAAAAAGAUUUUGUAUUAAGAUCAAUACAAAGAAAGAGUAAUAAAAGAAUCAAGUUUUAAUGAACACACUUUCAUGUCAUUCAAUGUAAACAUUGCCUGGUAAUCAAUAGAUACUUAACACUCUGAAAGAAACACUGAAAAGAUAAAGAGCAAGGAAGACAAUAAUGAAGAAAGAAAACCAGAUUCAAGACCCCCUGAUAUUCUCCCAGCAGAUAGCAAUACUCUGCCUCUCAACUGUAUGAUAAUUCUGCAUGCCCAUGUUACCUCCUUUCCUCUCCUUAAAUGCUGGAAAAGGAAUAUUUCUUAUUAGCCCUUGUGUGCCAAGUGUCCUUUUUCGUUUUUUCUUUCCGUACUAGCCAGCUAUCUAAGAGAUUCCCAAAUUCCCUUCCCCUUCUUCCCUUUUAGCCUUUAGAAUAAACCUUAAAAGGCUUCGUAGUGUUUCCAGCUUCAUUAUGGGCCCCCUUAUCAAAAAUACAUUUUUUUUUAAUUUCAAUUGAUACUAAAAUAUUAUUUCAUUUAUGUCAAAUUUGACUAGUCGGACACUUGCAAAUUUGCAAUGAAAUCGAGCCGGUCUAAUAUUUGUGAAAUUAUAAGGUUUGGUCAAAAUUGAGAAAUAUAGAUAAAGGUUCGGUUAUAGUGGUGAUUAGACCUACAGUAUGUAAAUGCAGUGUAUAGUUAUAGUAUAUGAUAUUUUAUUCCCAUUUCAAUGGGGCUGGAGGUCAUUAAUCAUAAUGUAUUAUGGGAAGCUUUAUUAUUUAUUAGUAGAUCCUUUAUUCCAUUGUUAGUUAUUAUGGUCUUUUUACCUCUGGAUUCUAUUUUGGUUAUAACAUUUUUACAAUUUUGGUUUUUGAUUGUUGCAACUUACAGAGCUGCACGUCAUAGAUGGCAUUCCACAGCUUAUCUUUGUUCAUUCGAGUUACACGAUUGAGGUUAGUCAUCUUCAUUCUUUUUUACCCUGUUAUACUUUAUGUUACCAACUAGAUUUUUUUUAUUUUUUUUACUUUUUUAUUUUGGGAUUUAAAGACAGUGGAAGCUGAAAGAAUAUCAGUUGAUCAUGUGGCACAUCUGAAGCCAUCUGAUGGAGGCUCUGCGGCAACUCAAUGCAAGUCCCUCUCUCAUCUUCAUCUUUAUCUACCCAUCUAGGCAUCUAUCCAUUAUUAGUAAAUCCACAGACCUUAAACUAGUCAGGCUUUGUAAUCUGAUUGGAUAAGUGAUCCGGUGUGAAUAGCUUGAAAUGGCCAGUUGGAUCUGUGAACUUGUGAUCCAUUUGACCCGAUCAGUUUGAUCAUCAAUAAGAGCAAAAAAAUUUUCUCGACUUGGCAAGAGCAAUUGAAUCCAAGACCUCAUGAGAUAUCUUUAAAGUCAAAACUAAUUGAGCUAAAUUAGUAAUUGUGUAUUUCUUUUGUCUCAUAAAUGUCUUAUUCCGUAAUAAUUAUUUAUUACAUAAUUCACAUAUUAAAUUAUUUUACAUCAAUUAAACUAUCAUAUUAACAUAUGUUAGAAUUCUUCUGAAAAAAUAUUUUUGUUUUACUUGAAAUAAAUAAAGCUAGCUAACUAUUUCUUAUAUUAUACAACAUCAGUAAUUUCAUAAGUAUAGUUCACAUAUAGAAUUCUUUUCUAUGGAUUACUCAUUAGUGUUACAAAAAAUUUAAUAGUAAUAUUUAAAAAAUAAUACUUUUGUAUGACCUUCAAGAACCCCAUUAAAAUAUAUUUGAAUAUUACCUAAUAAUUAUUGAUAAUUAAAAUUAUCGAAUUUUAUCUUUUUAUAUUAAUUGGUGUUGUGUGUAAUUAACUUUUUGAUAACCCACUGAUCAAGUCUGUGACUGAUGGUCCUGGACCUCCUGGUCCCUCCAAUGGGUCAAACCCUGUGCAGGGUUCAAUAGCACCUAUCUAUUUGUUUGUUCUAUAAACAUCAUUAUACUUGCUUUUUCUUUACUUGAAAGGAAGAAAGUACGAAUUAGUACAGCUGAAAUAGUAUGCAUCUAUAAUACAUACUAAUGUAGGUUAGUUUCAUUUAUCUGCAGUGGCUGCUCAUCUUACUGGUUUGCAUAGUGCCAUCAAGAUGCUGAAUAGCAGAAUCAGGGUGCUUCAUCACUAUCUUGUUGCAAUGCAGAAAGGUAUAUGCAUUUCUUUUUGAUGGAAAGUGCCAUUGAUUCAAUAAUUUACAGCUCUUGUCACUAAAGGGUGCAUGGAUAUUUUCUUGAUAGGAGUCUGAAACUCAAAAAAGAAGAGUUUAGCAAUCUGGAGUUGUCCCCUUUAAAUAUUUUAUAUCCUUAGAUUAUUAGUCCGCUACUUCUCAUCUUUGAUGGAACUAGAUCUGUCAUUUGCUCCAAUCCAACAGUAAUGGACUCUCAGCUGCCAUUGGCCAAAUCACAAAUGAACCCUGUUGAAGGAUCAUCCCAGCACUGGUUGGAGGGGUUGAAUGAAGGGCCAUUAUAAUUAAAAGAAAAGGGGAAAAGUAUAAUAAUAAUAAUAAUAAUAAUAAUAAUAAUAAUAAGGAUUAUUUUGGAGGCAGAUGCAUUUGCUGUUGAAAAGUUGAUGGCAAUAUGUAUAGCAUUGAUAGUAGUUGUGUUUGUGUUAUUCAGGUGAAAUUCCUUGUGAGAACUCAUUAUUAAGACAAGUAUCAAGCCUUUUGAGAAGAUUGCCAGCCAUUGAAUCAGAAAAAUUUCAAGAUGAUUUCUUGAUGGUGAGUAGUGCUAUUUGUUGCUUGUUUGGGAGAUAUGUUAAAAAUUUUAAUCAUAUCGAUGAAUUAUCUGCAUAAAUUACUUUCCAUAAUUUAACUUCCUAUCUGCUGCCUGAACCACUUUCUUAAAGAAUGUUCUAUGCCACUUGAAAAUUUUGUAUCUUGUUGUGAGCUGGACUAUUUUGCUCGAGAGACUGAUUUUGAAAGUGUUGUCAGUCAAAGUGAAUGAAGUGAGAAUUUUGCCUGCGUAGAAGGAAUUAGUUUGUUGAUUACAGGAAGGGGGAGGGGGGUGGAGAGAGAGAGAGAGAGAGAGAGAGAGAGAGGCUGACUGCCAAGCCAAUUCCUAUUUAAAUUCUCUCUGUUGCUCCCUCAAUGGAUUUAUUGUAAUCCAACCUUGUACUAGUAACUCCAUGCCCAAACCCAGCUACAACUCUUUUGGUCUUUCCACUACAUGUCUACAGUUAAACCAGGAGGAAUUGACAACCAUUUCAGGCUUUCAACAGUACGUAUGCAUGAUGAUGAGAAAUAAUAGGAAUCUAUUGUAGUGUUGAAGCUUGAUGAUUAAAAGAUGGAUAAUGAACUAAUGAUGUCACUUUGCAGUUUCUGAGUGUAAUGCUUUUGUUGAUAAUUUGUUUUUUGUUCACAGGAUGAUGAUUGUAUUUGGAUUUCUGCUUUUGAGAUACAUGUUGCUGUAUUUAAUUUGGAGAUGCUGUGAUAUAAAAAUGUUGUCUUUGUAUUAUUGUUCUAUACAAUAAUUGCAUUGUCCACUUCUGUGCAGGAAUACAAUGAUACGUUAUUGAUCACUUACCUGGCCAUGUUUACCAACUGCUCAAGGUAUCAUACAUGCUCCUUUUGUGGAAUUUCUCUAUCUUUCAUGUGUUCUUUAUACUUUCUUUUGGGGUAAACCAAUUUGUGUGAUUAAUGAAAAAUAUAGCUCAAGGAAGUGACAAGAAGUUGAUUAAUUGCCGUACACCAUAUAGUGAAGCACUUGAGACCUUAUCUAAUUGUAUGGUACACGUUUAACUUUAUAAUUUUGCUGAACAAAGGAAUCACAAGUACCGUAUUUCUAUUUUGAUGAAAAUAUUACAAUAUUAUUGUCCUCCAGUAAGAUGUGACAUCUACUUGAUCAUUGGCAUAAUAAAUUUUUUUAUGCUUAUAGUAGGAAAGUGUAAAGGGGUACUUGGGGCUACAUUUGCAUUCAUACGGGUGCAUGUCUCUGGGUUAAAGAUAUAGAUACAGAUGCAUCCCGGCACAUCUGAUUACAGAUGUGAGAAAUUGCAAUUUCAUGAACGUAACCAAAAUUAUAAAAUUCUAUCACUUGAUGUCUUCUUCAUCUUUUAUCUAUGACAAAGCUAACUGUGGUUCCGUUUCCUUGGAUCCAGCACAAUGAAUGAGGUAGUCGACAAAUUCAACACUGCCUACGACAGGCAUAGUCGAAGGGGUGGACGAACUGCUUUCAUCUGAAAGUUCCUAUAGUUCCCCUCCCUUUCUCCCUCUGAAACUGAAUAAUUCAAAAAGAAAUAACAGGUUUUUUUUGCUCUUUCCUUGCACAUUGUGCUGUUAGAUUGUAAUUGAAUUCUUAGAGAUGCAGAUAAAAAUGGCCUUACUGGUAGAUUCUGGUGUUUGUUUCCUGUUUGGUCUCUCUCUUUUAUUUUUUUAUUUUUUUAUUUUAAAUAUAAAUAUUGUAUGCUAUGGGUUGCUCCGUAUCAGAAAAAAGAGCGGAAAAAUGUGUUGGGCAUUCACGGAUAACCUCACCAUGUCUUUGAUGUAAUUAAGGUUACAAUAUAGCCAAGAAAAUCGAAGGAGCUUCAAGGGAUUAAGUGUUAGAACAGUGGGACUUUGGUUUGAAGCGCGAAAAAAAAAAAAAUUCAGAAGUUAUUAUGAGUCGUAGCAAUACUCUUUCAUUUGAAAGUUUCAGGUUGUCGUAAGGUUGCAGCAAACCUUACUUUUUUAUGAUGCUCUUUGUAAUUGAUUAAUUCGGUUUAAAUCAUUGUAAAUAAUUUUUUGAGUUAUUUCUAUUUAAUUCAAAAUGAUUAAUUUAAGUUAAUUAUUUGAUAGUUUUGUAAGUUAAGAUUUAUAAAGUCUAUCAAUUGGGUUGCUAAUCCUUAAUAAUCAAAAAGCUAGGUCCACAUAAGUACUAACAGUUUACACUCCUAUAACGGUUCACCAUUAUUAAAGCACCUAAUAGGUCUGAAUGGGGUCAAACUUUUUAGGAUUAUAUGAACUAACUGUUAAGAACUUUAGGUAUUAUUAUUUGGAUUUAUUAUUAAUAAGCAUUUAGGUAUUUUAAGAUGAUUGUAAUAUGUAAUAUAUUAUUUCUAUUGAUUAGAUAUAGAGUUGGGAAAGAAUGAUUAUUAUAUUAAUUAUAAUUUUUUUAAGAAAAUCACUUGAUGCUAGUGUUACAAUAAUAUUUCUUUAUUGAAAUAUAUUUCUUUUAUUUCAUUAUAAAAUAAAUGAAAAUUGAUGAUUUUGAGUAUAUUAUUAUUUUAAUAGGUUUGAUCAUAUAUUAUUAUUUAAUUUUUUUUAGAUUUGUUUUACAAAAUAUUAUUCAUAAAAUAAGGGCAAAUUGAUAUGUUCACCUAUUUUCUUUCUAUUCAUUCUUUUCCUAAAUAAAAUAAAAUUAAAAAAGUCUAUUUUCUUUCUCAUCCUUUUCUAUUCAUCCAAACAUAUCUUUAUUUUCUUCCUUGGCAUUUUAUCCAAACAAAACACAACUCCACCUUUCUUGAGCAUAGCAACUUUUUCACAGUUUCGGUCAGUUGGGAUCGAAAAAUUGAAUCGAUAAAAGUUUAGAACUAAACUAAAAUUAAAGAUAUUUGAAUCUAUCGAUUUGAUUCGGUUCAAAAAUAAAUUUUCAUUCCAAUCUCAAGCGGUGACGAUGAUGAGGUAAUGGAAACAAAGGGUGGGAUAGCAGCAAUGACGAGUAGAAAAUAAAGGAGAAAGAGUGUACGGAGUGUACGGAGAAGAGAGAACAUGUAAGAGUGUAAAUGAAUUAAACCGUUUGUGAGUUACUUAAAAUUCAGUUUCAUAAAUGAUCAAUCAAAUUUAACUCAAUUUCUAAACGAGUUAAGUUCGAUCUUAAUUUUUAAACUCGUUUCGUAAACGAGCCAAAUUUGAUCUUCAUAAUAUUCGACUUAUUAAGAUUUGUGAGUUCGGUUUGUGAAUAAUUUCGUUACAUAUAUUUUCAUGAGCUAAAUUUAAAUUUUUUAAAAUUCUAUAUAGUUAGUUACACUUUUAACUUUAUAUAUAUUUAAAUCGUUAAAAUUUAAAAAUUUAUUUUUAUAAGUAUACCAGUUAAUUUAUAAAUAUAUUUAUUUAAUUAAAAUUAUUUUAAUUUUAAAUUUAUUAAUUUUAAAUUAAAAUUUAUUAUAUAUAUAAAUAAAUUAAAUUAUUUGUUGACUAUUCGAAACUAAAUUCGAUAAAAAUUUUAAACAUUUUAAUACUUUAUUCGAAUCAAUAAAAUGAAUAAAACUCAAAUUAAAAAGAUCACAUAAUUAAUUAAUCAAAUUAAAUCAACUCAAAAUAAUAAGAAAUCAGUAAUCAAUCAAAUUAAAAAAUCAAAUAAUUGAAUUGAUCGAUUCAAUUUAAUUAAAUUUAAUUUAAUUUUUAAUUAAAAAUAAAAACGGCACUGCUCGACAUAAAAAUAUUCUAUUAAUUAAGGUAAUUUUAUCAUUGUUACAUUUAUAAAUUUUUCAUAUUUUGUAAUCUAAGUAAAUAAAAAUUAUAAAAUUUUAUAAUUUUCCCAUUAAAUAAGACAUUAAAAUUCUUUAAAAACAGCUCCUAACUUGAUGAGCGCAGCUUAUCUACAGCACAAAAGUCUGAAGCGUAAGCUCAUAUUUUCUAUUCCUUAUUCGCUUGCAGAUUGAGCAAAAGUUUGUCGGAACUAUUGUUUUAUGGCGACGGCGACAGCAACAGCGACUGUAUCAGUGGCCGCCGCAGCUGCUUCUAGGAUUAUAAGAGGUCGCGGAUUGAGUCUGGGCGUCUGCAGUCGCCUGGGAAUCAAUAUGGUUCGCAAUCGUUCAUUUAUUAUCAAGACCGCGACGCCCUUUUCACCAAGGCACCAUCGCUUCUCCUGUUUUUGCACCAUUGCUAAUGUUAAUGUGAAUGCGGAAGAGCCCACAUCAGUUUCCGCCGGCACUACCACCACGAGCACCGUGUCUGAAUCGGAAUCGAAUAAGGAUGGUGGUAGUAUAAGAGAUGCAGCCAACAUGCUCGACGUAAGGGUUGGCCGAAUCAUCAAAGCUUGGAGGCAUGAGGAGGCAGAUACCCUUUACGUGGAGGAGGUAGAUGUGGGCGAGGCUGAACCACGUAUCAUCUGUAGUGGGCUUGUGAAGUACAUCCCUCUCGACCAUCUCCAGGUCUGUAUAGUUUCAAGCAAAGCCUUUUCUCAAGUGCCAAAAAAAUCCAGAAAUCUUUUGAUUUAUAUUCCAAGGAUUUUUGUAGGAUAGGAAAGUGGUGGUGCUUGCUAACCUUAAGCCCAGGAAUAUGCGUGGGGUGAAGUCAAGUGGAAUGCUCAUGGCUGCUUCUGAUGCUUCUCAUGAGAAUGUUGAGCUCCUUGAGCCUCCUGAAGGUUCAAUUCCAGGGGAAAGGAUUUGGUUUGGCGCUGAAGACGACCAACAAAAUCAACCUGAUCCUGCCACUCCUAACCAGGUUUGAUUUUACCUCUUUCGCAUAUACGACAUUGUUGUCUCGGACCCUUAAAACUUUCUGAUAGGAUUUUUUUUUUCCCUCUUCAUCAUCACCACCCUUUCUGAUGUGGUUUGAAAAGAUUGGAUUGACUAUUCUGUGCAUGUUGUUCUGUAUUUACAUGUUUAGCUUGAAAUAGAACCUCUAUAUUCUGGCUAAAAAUGUAAUUAGUUCACCAUAGGAUCUAUAUUGAGUUAAUGAUAAAAGAUAGAAAUACAAAAGAGUGCCAUUAUCUGAAUGUCAAUCUUCCCAAUUGGUAUAAGAUCCCCAAAAUCCAAAAUUUUAAUGGGAAGGGAGACUCAGCAUCUCUUGAGGCUCUUCGUCAAUGAUACUUGCUCAAAUUGCAACAUUUAACAAAUUGAAUCUAGAUGAAAUUAUCUCACUUCAAAUGUAUACAUCCAAUAAGCUAUCUCACUAUCUGUGUUUGUGUGUGUGCGCCUGUGGAUUUAGCAAAUGUUAAAGCCUUGUUUCUAUGAACCUAUCUUGCUGAUGCAUAUCAUGCUUUCUUUGGGUACGACCUAAGAGGCAUAGGAAAAGUGAAAAGAUGGCAAAUGAACCAAGUUUCCGUUCAUGAGAUUGAUGUUGUUCAAAAUUUAAGAAAAAUCCAUAGGUUAGAUGAGACAAAUAGAUAAAGCAAAGUGAAAGAACACAUUCAGUAUUUUAUCAUUAUAAUCCUAUAUGAUAGAAUGCUAGUGUUAUGAUUUCAUGAUAAACAAAUUUCAAUAUAUAAAAUUCUGCACCAUAUAUACAAGAAUGAUUGUUGUUCUUUUUUACUUCUUUUUUCUGUAACUUCGAAGAAAACAUAUGGACUGUGGUGAAAAGUACAUUUUCUUCUGUCCAUUUUCCAAUUGAUUUAAUUUAAGAUCUAAUUCUUCCUUCCUGAAGUUUCUGGGUUUCAGACCUUUGUUAUUGGAAUGUGUAUACAACUAGGAAGCUGGUUCUAUGCUGAAGUUAUUUAAAAGAACAUUAUUAUUGACAAAAUAAAAAAUUAGAAAUUAGAAAUAAAUUUUUCAUAUAAACAGAACCUUCCACAGUUCCAUAUCAAGCAAAGCACCAUGAAUCUCUUCUUCUGUAAUUAGCCUAUUCACAACCUGAUCAUUAAUAAGUAAACAGACAUGAAUGGGAUAUGCUGGGAUACCAUCAAUAUCCACUGAAUAUGAUUCUUUAGAAAUUGAGAGCCUUCUUUUGCAAAACUUCCUGAUCAGUAAUUCCAUAACAAAAUUUUUUGACAUCUUUCCAUAAUGAGAGCAGUGCUGCUGACUUCCUUACCAAAACUACCUGUUAUAUAUCUAUCCUUCUCUAACUAAUCAGUUUUAAGCUCACUGUUUUGGCAUCACACAAGGAGUAAAGAAUGACCUGCUUCAAACUGAACUUGAAGCAAAUUUUCUACAAUCAACUAUUGCUAUAUACUUAUUGUAUGAAAAGGAGAAGACUCUAAUUGGUUUUGUAUUCUGUAAAGUUUCAUGAGUUAAGACUACUACAUUGAAAACAUCUCGAGCUCUUCCAUGGGAAUGCCAAACCUGGUUUGCCUGAUAAGGUUUAUAAGAGAAAUUCAUUCCCAAACCUCUCUUUGCUACACUUCCAAAGCAAAAAAUAUCACACUCUGACCUUGGUUAUGCUGAAGGAAAGUACAUUGUUGUCCUGUUAGGAAAUCAAACAUCACCUCAGUCAACGUGUUGUUUUUGUACUAUAGUUAAAUUUGUUCUCUUAGUCUCCUACUUAUUACCUGCAGGUUCAAAAGAAAAAGAUUUGGGAAUCAGUGCAGCCUCAUCUCAAGACAGAUGAUUCUUGCGUGGCUAUGCUUGGGGAGCAUUUGAUGCGGACUUCUGCAGGUGUGGUGGGUUGCAGAUCUCUGAAGAAUGCAAAUAUCUCUUGACUGAGCUUGAAUUCACUCCACUUAGUGUUUCACUACUUCGUGGUACAAAUUUUUUCAUGGCUUCCUUUUCUUCUUCCUUGUCUUGCUCGGCAAAGUUAAUGUUGAUAUUAGCGUGCGUUUGCUGCAAAUUCCUGAUGCUCAUGGGUUUAUCAACUGUGUUUUGUCCUUAUGGUGACAUAUCUUUGAAUUAUUUACGAGUUAGUUCAGACAGACUUCUUAUGUCAGGUUGUCAAUAGAAAAUGGAAUUAACCUUCUUAAGAAAAUCCUGUUAUUAUAGUAAUUCAAUAAUUUAUUUAUAAUUUUUAAAUAAUUAUGUUAUAAAUAAGCUUACCCCAGAUUCUAGUACGUGUCAGAAAUGAAGUUUGAACUCUCCCUCUUGGACAAGGAAAUCAAAUCCCACAAAGAAUAGGAAAUCAACCUCUUAUAUAUACAGCACAAUACCUGAAAAUCUACAUCUAUUCUCAUAAGCCAACAGAUUGAAAGAAGAAAUAAAGAAAGAAACAAUGGAGCCACAGCACAUGGAACCACCACUCUGCGCCAAUGGCUGCGGCUUCUAUGGAUCAGUACAGAACGCCAAUUUAUGCUCCAAGUGCUAUAAAGAAUUCCAAAAGGAACAAGAGCAGCAAUAGAAGCACCAACUUCCUCCAUAGCUCGCCCCUCUUUGGAUGGUGAAACUGUUGCUGGUUCAUGUGAUCAGACUGCCUCGAAGAGCAGAAGCAAUCCGUGCAACAGCUGCAACAAGCGGCUAGGAUUGAUGGGGUUCAACUGCCGUUGUGGGAAUGCGUUUUGCAGGUGGCAUCGACAACCUGAAGACCACGCAUGUACUGUUGAUUUCAAGGAGCUUGGCCGUGAGCUUUUGAUCAAGCAAAAUCCACUCUGCAAGGCCGAUAAAUUGCAGAAUAGGAUAUAGUUUGCAUGAUAGGAUAUUUAGAAGAGGGU
rnacentral:lncRNA from 1 species